rnacentral:rRNA from 1 species
GAUGAACGCUGGCGGCGUGCUUAACACAUGCAAGUCGAACGGAAAGGCCCAAGCUUGCUUGGGUACUCGAGUGGCGAACGGGUGAGUAACACGUGGGUGAUCUGCCCUGCACUUCGGGAUAAGCCUGGGAAACUGGGUCUAAUACCGGAUAGGACCACUUCUUGGAUGUUGUGGUGGAAAGUUUUUUCGGUGUGGGAUGAGCUCGCGGCCUAUCAGCUUGUUGGUGGGGUAAUGGCCUACCAAGGCGUCGACGGGUAGCCGGCCUGAGAGGGUGUACGGCCACAUUGGGACUGAGAUACGGCCCAGACUCCUACGGGAGGCAGCAGUGGGGAAUAUUGCACAAGGGGCGCAAGCCUGAUGCAGCGACGCCGCGUGGGGGAUGACGGCCUUCGGGUUGUAAACUCCGUUCGCUAGGGACGAAGCGUUUUGUGACGGUACCUGGAGAAGAAGCACCGGCUAACUACGUG